GAUGAACGCUGGCGGCGUGCCUAAUACAUGCAAGUCGAGCGAACGGACGAGAAGCUUGCUUCUCUGAUGUUAGCGGCGGACGGGUGAGUAACACGUGGAUAACCUACCUAUAAGACUGGGAUAACUUCGGGAAACCGUAGCUAAUACCGGAUAAUAUUUUGAACCGCAUGGUUCAAAAGUGAAAGACGGUCCUGCUGUCACUUAUAGAUGGAUCCGCGCUGCAUUAGCUAGUUGGUAAGGUAACGGCUUACCAAGGCAGCGAUGCAUAGCCGACCUGAGAGGGUGAUCGGCCACACUGGAACUGAGACACGGUCCAGACUCCUACGGGAGGCAGCAGUAGGGAAUCUUCCGCAAUGGGCGAAAGCCUGACGGAGCAACGCCGCGUGAGUGAUGAAGGUCUUCGGAUCGUAAAACUCUGUUAUUAGGGAAGAACAUAUGUGUAAGUAACUGUGCACAUCUUGACGGUACCUAAUCAGAAAGCCACGGCUAACUACGUG
rnacentral:rRNA from 1 species